GUCUGCUCCUCCAGCUGCAACGAGUAGUGCUUUCCUAGAGGCAGCCGUUCCCCUGUGAGUUGCUGUAGACUCUGGCCAUGGGCCCAGCUGCCAUGGCAAAGAGCAGACCUGCACAGGGAGGCUGCUGCACAUCCCUCUGGCAGGUUGGUCCCAUCUCCAACCCGCUGCUGGACUGGGCUGUGGGGGAGGCAGGAAGCUGGGAAGCACUCCUAAGGAAGUCAUCUGUCAUAUCUUCAUUCUGCUGUGGCAUUUAUCAUUCCACUCAGGGACACUGGGAUGCAC